GUGCCAGCCGCUGCGGUAAUACGAAGGGGCUAGCGUUGCUCGGAAUGACUGGGCGUAAAGGGCGUGUAGGCGGUUUGUACAGUCAGAUGUGAAAUCCCCGGGCUUAACCUGGGAGCUGCAUUUGAUACGUGCAGACUAGAGUGUGAGAGAGGGUUGUGGAAUUCCCAGUGUAGAGGUGAAAUUCGUAGAUAUUGGGAAGAACACCGGUGGCGAAGGCGGCAACCUGGCUCAUGACUGACGCUGAGGCGCGAAAGCGUGGGAGCAAACAGGAUUAGAUAACCCUGGUAGUCCACGCUAGU
rnacentral:rRNA from 1 species